UUUACGUUAAGCAGCUACUGAAGCACUCAUGUUUGAAAAAUAACUAUUUUCUGCUGUAGCAUCUUUGAAUAAUGGAUUUUCUUCAGCUGCGUGAAGCUGACACCCCACCCACUUGAAAAAUUCCAGCAAAUAGACAGAAUGGUCAUCCAGAGGUCACCAUCCCCCCAUUUUACUCCGAAUUGAACCGGAGUGGGCUCAUUUUUUAGUGCUUCGUUUGUGCAGGCGAUCAAUGACGACUUAAAUCGAUGACGUCUAUGGCCUGCGCUGAACAUCAUCACCACCAUGAGGUGGGCACAUGACCAAUAUAUUCAUAGUUGGACAGUAUUUCCCAUCCCAUACAUGAAGCUAGUAAAGACAUGGAGAGGUACUUUAGCCUAAGUGAAGCUUUACCUUAAGUGGACAAAAGUACUUUUUUGCAGAUCAGAGCUGCUGUUAGACUUUAUAGACUAACCAUCACUGCUUCCAACAAACAAUAGGUUUUCUACUUUCAUGCCAAUAUUGAAGUUUUUAUCUGAUCAAGUUUUUAUCUGAUCAAGUUUUUAUCUGAUCAAGUGUUUACAUAAAUGCUGUCACCACUGUCACCUGAUUGUUCUGCACGCCUAAUUUAAUAUAUAUAACCUAUACCUUACUGAUAACUGCACAGUAUUGUAUUUUUCCUCUCUUUUAUUGUAAAUCCCUUUCAGCCUUUUUGUGAUUGUUUUUUGCACUUUGUUUCUUAUAGCUUUUAGUUUGGGUAAGUUUUCUACUUUUUUAGAUAAAUAUGAACCUGUGUACUUUCAUUGCCUUAUGGUUUGGUGCUGACACACUCAAAUGUUCCUAUUGUGGAACAAUAAAGGUUUUCUAUUCUAAUUAAUUGAGAGAGGUAACCAUGACUUCUGAGAUCACGCAUAACCAAGUUACUGUUUGAAAAUGUAAUCUACAUUAUACUUUCAAAGAAGAAUAAACACUUCUGAUUUGGAAAAUUAACUUUAUGUUAUAAAUCACCACAGGCAACAUAUGGCAUACUUAACCAUCUAAGAACUUGUAACAAAGAACAUUAAAAUAGAACCUAUUUCUGGUCAGGAAUAUCAAACCAUGGCAAAAUGUAUUUGCCUUUUGAUCUGGGCUUCUCAGAAAUUUUCCCCCAAAAUGUGUUGAUUCACAGCAUUCAGUCUGCUGUGUAUAACACUGCAUGUGGUUGUAUUGUCUUCUUUUCAGACACAGUCUUCACUAUAUUUGCCAGGUCAUCAUAAAGCUCCCACACACAUGGAGCUCUUCGGCAGUAUGCAAUGUAAUGUCCCAGACCAUCUUUAGUCAAGCUUCCCUUGAAAGCGAUGACUCCUCUCAAAGAGAAUGUCUUUCCUUGGAGAGCAACAGUGGGGGGAAAUUCACUCAAAGGAAACUGAGUUGUGUUUGCAAGUGGGCGAAGGCAGGGAGACUCCGGAAGGAAGAGUCCAUUUUCCACUGAAAUGUCAAGCUGAGCCAUGCCACAGUCCAUCAGCACAGAAAUGUCAGGAGAAACAAAUGUGGCUGAGCUUGCUGUGAGGUUGGUGCUUUUGAAGAGGGGGACCAUUACUCCUGUCCAAAGUGCCGCGUAGGUCAGUCUGGAUCUCGUCAAAAGAAUCCACUUGAUGCAUUUCAUUUGGAUCUACAGCUGGAAUGAUGAUGGAGUCUUCUGUGAUCUGGGUUUGUAGAUAUUUUUUGCACAUCUCUGAUUCGAGAGGGACUCCAGAACUAUCAUCAC